GUAAAUCUAGUUUAAACAAAACAUCAGAUUGUGAUUCUGAUAAUAGAGGUUAAUAUCCUCUGACUUACA
rnacentral:tRNA from 1 species